rnacentral:rRNA from 1 species
UACAGAGGGGGCAAGCGUUGUCGGAAUUACUGGGCGUAAAGGGCGCGUAGGCGGCCUGUUAAGUCGAACGUGAAAUCCCCGGGCUCAACCCGGGAACUGCGUCCGAUACUGGCAGGCUUGAAUCCGGGAGAGGGAUGCGGAAUUCCAGGUGUAGCGGUGAAAUGCGUAGAUAUCUGGAGGAACACCGGUGGCGAAGGCGGCGAUCC